AGACCUUUAAGAUAGUUCAGACAAGAAGCAGAAACCAUAAGUACUAAAAUUAUUUUUAUUGUAAGAUUAGAGUAACAGAAUCUUGCAAGUCUGAAAGUACUUCCCUCUUUUACUUUUAUUAUCCAAAAAACUAGGGAGUGUUCCUUCUUAAACACAUCCCACUUCCCAUCUGUUUUUAUGGACUGACAUACUUUUUGCACGAUGCUGGGCUAGUCUCUGGCUUUUCCUCCUGCCUCCCAAGAUUUGAAAGGAAACUUCACUAUAAUUCCGGAAGAAAUUGAUCAAUCUUUCUCAACUAUAUUGUCUUCACUGGAGUUCUAAACAACAGCAGAAUGAGGAUCA